GAUGAACGCUGGCGGCGGGCCUAAUACAUGCAAGUCGAGCGAACAGACGAGGAGCUUGCUCCGCUGACGUUAGCGGCGGACGGGUGAGGAACACGUGGAUAACCGGCCUAUAAGGCUGGGAUAACGUCGGGAAAGCGGAUCUAAUACCGGACAAGAGAGUGAACGGCAUGGUUCAAUAGUGAAAGAGCGAUUUGCUGUCACUUAGUGAUGGAUCCGCGCCGCAUUAGCUAGUUGGUAAGGUAACGGCUUACCAAGGCAACGAUGCGUAGCCGACCUGAGAGGAUGAUCGGCCACACUGGAACUGAGACACGGUCCAGACUCCUACGGGAGGCAGCAGUAGGGAAUAUUGGACAAUGGGCGAAAGCCUGACGCAGCAACGCCGCGUGAGUGAUGAAGGUCUUCGGAUCGUAAAGCUCUUUAAUUUGGGAAGAACAGAAGUAUAUGUAUCUCUGCCUGUUUUGACGGUACCUACUCAGAAAGCACCGGCUAACUUCGUG
rnacentral:rRNA from 1 species